UUCUUAGCACGAUGGUGGUGCCUAUAAUUCUAUAGCAUGGUGCACAGGCAGAGUCCUCUCUCAGAGUCUGACCAUUUUUUUUGAAAUGGGAGUCUGACCAUUAGAAACACACUGUUCUUGCUGGAUUGCAAAAUCAGAUCCAUCUCAGAAGCUGGAUGGAGUAUCCGCAGAGGUGCAGGUAUCUGAUGCAUCUGAAAAGUUCACUCAACCAGCCUGACGGAGGAGAACUAGCUGCUAGUUCAUCAAGGAGUGUCUGCAGUGGUUGGGCAGCGGACGGCGCGUGCAAACGAGGAACUGCAAGCGGAGAAGAUAGGGGAUGGAUGUAUAUCGCGAGGAAGAAGACGGGUAGACUGGUGGUGGGCGCUGGUCCGCAAUAAAUGGUUAUCAGACGGCGUCGGCUCAGGAUCCGCGCUAUACCGGCCUAGUUCGCUGGUGCACGUCUGAGCCAAAGCCCACUUAGCUGACGGCGUAUCAAGCCCGUUACAAGAGGCAUGGGCCCUCAUAACUGUUCACCUGGUGAUAUACGGGAAUAAUACCUGGGCUUAUACCGGAUGGAUUGGGGAUCACGAGGAUUGUGGGCGGGUAGGAUACCAAGAGCGCCUGUGCUCGGGCACAGAAGAUCACUUUCGGUAUCUUCGCGAU